rnacentral:lncRNA from 1 species
AACAACUUGGAAGAACUGUGUGUGGGUAACAACGCUUACUGGAGAUCAGUUCUCUCCUCUCUGGUUUUGCUUUUGCUUAGAUCACCAACUUUCCUGCCUCUUUCUGGUGCCAAUUUUGAGGGCAGGAGGCUCCAAGGCAUUUUCUGGAACAGAAGAGCUCUGAGUGCCAUGUGUCUGCCUUUGAAUGCAGCUUGUCUCUCUGCUGGUCUCUUAAAGGGACCUAAAUGUGCAGUUUUUGCAAAACCUUCCCUCUGAGGCUCAUGCCUCCCCUCCUCUUUCAGAGAGAGCAGCAAACAGCUUGUGAGUUAUUUAUGACCUGGUUCGUGCCAAAGAGAGUUUGGUGGGAGCUGGGGGGCAGACUUCGGGGCCCUGUAGAAUGGUAGAGACUCUUCAGAGAAGUCCCAGUACCUUGGAUCCCGAGGAGAUGUGAAGCAGGGACAAAGCUGGAUUGGUGGCUCUGGUCACGUGACAGUACUCUGGCAGGCUAGGGUACAGAAAGGGGGACCUGACCUGGGGACUGUCUCCAAGAUCAGUGCUCAUGUCCAAUGUCUUCCUCCAGCAAGGCUCCUCAAUGGCAUCCUCUAAGUUUUCUCUCUUUCAGGGUACAAAAAUGACUAGAUUGGCUAAGAGUUAUACCAGGUAAUACUGGAGUGUGUUUCCAUUGUAACACUUCAAACCUCAAUGUGAGACAGGUAACUAAAGUGGACACUCAUAGACAGGAUAAACCACGGCGGAGCAUUCAUAGGUGACGACAGCUAAGUCAGACGCUCUUUUUGAGUUUACCAUCUAGAUGGGGUCUGAAGGGUCGAGCCAUACCUGCUGCAUCUCCACACUAAGAAGCAGCCGGUGUAAGCAGACAUCAUUCUGAACCUUCUGUGGUACUAUGACAACCAAAAAAAACCCUCACCGACUCCUGUGGAUCACCAGCCAGCUACUUCUUAGACCUGGGAGAUUGCUUUGCUUUGGCACUGCCCAAAGAUGGGAAAGCAAAGGACUCAAGGAGAGCAUUGGAAGGAAGAGCCCAAACCCUGGCACUUCAAUUGCUGGUAGAACAUAGGAGCAUCAGGGGCAUUUGGCUGUGAGGAGGAUGUUUCCAGCAAACAAGAAGAAGCCUCUGCUUGGAGAAGACGCAGGAGAUGGAGAGAUGAGUUCAUAAUACUACACACCAAGAAUCUGGAAAAUGGUCAAAAAUAUAAGUUCUAGUUCUUUCCAUAAAUAAAUGAUCAAUAGAAGAAAGAGGGGUGACAGGUAACAGGGGAGCUGUCACAGACAAAAGCUGAUGUUCCUUUAGGUCUGAAAGAGUAUUGUCAGCACAGAGUGGUUGCAGCAGUGACGUGUGGAGGGAGAAGAGGCACAUAAAUCAGCCUUUCCUUGUCUUUGAUUUUACUUCCUUCAUAGUCGUCCAAGGUCUAUAAACGCUAGGUGGAAACACUA